rnacentral:rRNA from 1 species
UACAGAGGUCUCAAGCGUUGUUCGGAUUCAUUGGGCGUAAAGGGUGUGUAGGUGGCGCGCUAAGUCGGGUGUGAAAUUUCGGAGCUUAACUCCGAAACUGCAUUCGAUACUGCCGUGCUUGAGGACUGGAGAGGAGACUGGAAUUUACGGUGUAGCGGUGAAAUGCGUAGAUAUCGUAAGGAACACCAGUGGCGAAGGCGGUUGCCUGGAGCUUUGCUGACGCUGAGGCGCGAAAGCGUGGGGAGCGAUCCGG